rnacentral:rRNA from 1 species
AGAACGAACGCUGGCGGCAUGCCUAAUACAUGCAAGUCGAACGAACACUUCGGUGUUAGUGGCGCACGGGUGCGUAACGCGUGGGAAUCUGCCCUUGGGUUCGGAAUAACAGUUGGAAACGACUGCUAAUACCGGAUGAUAUCGAAAGAUCAAAGAUUUAUCGCCCAGGGAUGAGCCCGCGUAGGAUUAGCUAGUUGGUGAGGUAAAGGCUCACCAAGGCGACGAUCCUUAGCUGGUCUGAGAGGAUGAUCAGCCACACUGGGACUGAGACACGGCCCAGACUCCUACGGGAGGCAGCAGUAGGGAAUAUU